rfam:TPA: Bos taurus chromosome 14, whole genome shotgun sequence.
CCUGGUGGCUCAGAUGGUAAAGCGUCUGCCUACAAUGCAGGAGACCCAGGUUCAAUUCCUGGGUCAGGA